GGGUGCGAUCAUACCAGCACUAAUGCACCGGAUUCCAUCAGAACUUUGCAGUUAAGCGUGCUAGGGCGAGAGUAGUACUAGGAUGGGUGACCUCCUGGGAAUUCCUCGUGUUACACCCC
rnacentral:rRNA from 1 species